rnacentral:tRNA from 1 species
CAUUGAGAAGCUACUAGCAACAGCCUUUUAAGCUGGAGACAGGUGACCUCUUCACCCUCAAUGA